UGCUAGUGGGAGGGGUGAAAUCCUACCCUGCUCCCCCAACCCGGGCACCGAACCAGAGCCCAGGAGGGAGAGAACAGCCGUCGAGUCCCGGCUAGCUGCUGGGACAGGACGAUGGGCAGCGGCAGGAGGGGGCGGCCUAGAGAGGGGCCACACUCACAGCUGCGGUGGCAGCGCCCAGGCCAGCCUGAGGCCCUAGGAGAGGAGAUGCUGGAACCUGCAAGGAGGGCAGGAAGGCGCUGUUGGACCAGGAAGCUGAAAGCGCGCCAGAGGCUAAGCCCUUCGGACACAAGCUGACUGGAGGAGCAAGAGGAGCUUAUCCUGGCCAACACCCCACUGCUGGAGUCUGGCAGACAGGGCGAUACGCACAUCAGAAGACUUCGUUUUAAGGGAAAAAGAGAUCCAAGUUAGGAGUCAGAAGACUUGGGCUUUAAGAGUGGCUGUGGGUCGUAUAAGAUUUCUCUUUGGUGACACCCGGGGGUUGACGGAGAUGACCUCUUAGACAACCAGAAAGCGAGAUCAGCUUCGCUGCUCUGCGAAAGCCAGCCGUGGAGCUGCACCUCCCUCACCGCCUAAGCCUCUCGGGAACCUCCCGGGCGAGGGAAGGGGUCCAAAGGUCGGACACAAGAAGAGUGAUUGCAAAGCCCCUUCCUACGCUGGUGGCGGCGGCGUGGUGCAAGAUUUGGGCAAGACUUCUCUCCCUCGGAUUGGGAGCAAGGGUCCCGCACCUUCAUAGCUCCCACGACAAAGUCUGCAACUCAGCCCGCUGAGGGAGCUGCAAGAAACCUGCAAACGUCCCAGCCCCUGCAGAGACCCCCAAGAAAAAGCGCCCCCAAAACAGCCUGGGUUGCAGAUUUAUAAAUACCUCCUCCGCACAUGCGCAUUGGAAUUUACGAGUGGCCCAGGGAGCAACUCUGGCCCACUGCGCCUGCGCCUUCCAGCUCUUCCUUCAGGGCACAGGACCAGAAAGUGGGGUCCCAUGGUCCCGCAAAGAAGGAAAAACAAUGGGUCGGCAGCGGCCACGCGGUACCCGUUUCUCGCUUCUUACCUCGUAGUGCUUCAUGGCUCACUCCCACGGCGACUACAGUUCCGCGGGCUGCUGCCUAUGCGCGCGACACAGCACACAGUCCCUGAAACGCUCGAUACCGCUGCGAGAGACUAAACGCAGCUCUGCGUCCGCCCCGCCCCUCCCGGCCGCGCGCGCCCCGCCGGCCAAUCAGGGCACGAGGCGACCACCUUCGCCCCUGCCCCUUGGGGCCGGUCCGAACCAGGACCGGGGCUAGCACCAGGGGAUUGACCAAUCAGCUUGCGAGACCCACCGAAGGGGGCGGAGCGAGUGCGGGAGGGGCUAAAGAGAAGAGGUUUGGCCAUCCACCAAUCCAAAGGAGGCUUCUGAGCCGCGCGUCCCUUUGCCCCGACCCCUGAUGGCGUCGCUGUGGAAACCAAGAUCCUGCUCCUGAGCCUUCAUCAGCUGUUGAACCAUCCAGAAUUCACGGGCCUGUCAUCAGAGACAUGAUGAGAAGUCCUUAAAGAUAGAUUGCUGAUUCACAGGGGAGCAGGCGGAAGCAAGGGUGAGUCAGUGCUUGGAGCUCGGUCAUCCAGAUUCGGCUCUGGAAACUUCUAAACCUGUAGCCUUUGGGGAUCCCUGACUCCGAGUACAGGAAGCCAAGGCUAUGUGGUCUUCAGGACACUCCUUAUCUUUUUCACUGGCGCUAUCUGGGGAAAACAGGUGAAAACAUGAAGGUGUUUUGUAUGUAUGCCUUCAAAAGCAAGGAUCUGGCCAAACUCGGGGGCUCACACCUAUAAUCCCAGCACUUUGGGAGGCCAAGGCAAGUAGAUCA